rfam:Canis lupus familiaris chromosome 6, whole genome shotgun sequence.
GGAGGGAGGUCGGAUCCUGGGCUGUGUCCCCGGCGCCCUGUGCUCCCGGGCCUGCGCUGUUGGAUUCGCGCUCCCGGUGGCGCAGCCCCCU